UUCUCCUGCAGCCGGAUGGCCGGGGCAAGUCUCCCGGCGGCGGGAGACACGGUGGCCCCGCAGGGAGUGUGCAGCCCGGGGAUCUCGGGGCCCUGCGGGUAACGACGAGAAGGCGGACCCGAAGGGAUGGGCUUUUAGGCAGCCAAGGAUACUUGAAAGAUGGAGGGAAAGUAUCCGGAACUGCCGGAGCUCCGAGGGAUGGGGGAGGGGCGGCGAAGUUGGAGCCCCUGUCCCCCGGAGAUCUCCGCCGCAAGUUUAGUUAGCGAAAUCCCAGAGUCCCGCCAACUCUGAAAGUGAUGCUCUCCUGUCCUUUUUGGGGGAAGUUGGGGACUUGCGAACUGUUGGAGACGGCUGUUCCGAAUUCUUCACCUCCCCCGAACACAGCAAUUACAAGCUUAGGUCCUGCUAGCGCCAUACGACUCAAGGCUUGACAGGCAACAAAGUUGGGUGCGGAAAGCAGGACUUACCCGCAGAGUUGCGGGGGUGAGCCCCGGUGCAGAAAGGGCUCGCGCAGCUCCGGCAGUCUGCUGCACGGCUGGAGUUCAGUCGGGCAGCUGGACGCUGCAGCCGCAGCACCGCCCGGGCCUGAGCUCCGCCCGGCCAAGCGUUGCUGCUGGGGCCGCCCCCUCCAGGGUAAGCCCGCCAGGACCUCGGAGAGGGGAGAGGGGCGGAGCCCAGGAGCCGGGCGGGAGUUAUUAACUCCUCUGAGCGCUGAGGAGAGAAGAGAUUCUGGGCAUUCAAAGUUUGAGUAGUCCUUUGAUCCCUUGCGGGAGGGAGUGUAGAGCCUGGACUGGGCUGGACUGGGACUAUGUGCAUUGGGACUCUGGUUGUUUAGAAAGGUUAUAGGAUGAGAUCUCCAUCUAUCUGGGGGAAAACCUGGGCUACAAAUGGAAAAUAAGCAGCCCAAUCCCUACAGAUAACCCUCUAUCUCCCAACCUCCAAAUAUGCUUUCAGUAACUAGGGAUCCCACAGUUGGUGAACACAAGGAGAUACAGGUACAGAAGACACACUUCUGCCCCUCUUUAAAGUGCCUACUUCCUCCUCCAAAGCUUUGGACCCUCCAAAGGGCCCUGUUUCAACCAAGUUGGUCACUUAACCUGACGAUUUGAGUAGUUCAUUUCUUUGUUUGUUUGUUUGUUUGUUUGUUUUUCGAGACAGGGUUUCUCUGUGUAGCCCUGGCUGUCCUGGAACUCACUCUGUAGACCAGGCUGGUCUCGAACUCAGAAAUCCACCUAUCUCUGCCUCCCGAGUGCUGGGAUUAAAGGCAUGAGCCACCACUGCCUGGCUGAGUAGUUCAUUUCUAUAUCUAUAAAGAUAGCUACUUUAAGGCACUGUUCCUUAUACUAGUUAUCGUAAAAACUCCACAUUUUAUAGUUGUUUGGGGCCUCAGGGAUAAUGUCAUUUGUCCAGUAAAUAUUUGUAAAGGGGGGAGGUAAAUAUUAAAGUGGCAAUCAGGGAUUGCUAGGUGCUGAGGGCUUAAAACCAUUCGAAAGCUCAGUCUGGCAUCAGAGGCAAGUUGUACAACAAACAUGCAAAAUAAUAAAAAGCUCUAGUAAAUACUAGGAAUAAUCUCAUUUAGUUUAAGCCUUCAGUGUAAUCCUUUCCAUGAGCCCCAACCUAAGCUGCAGGCCAUAAAGUGCUAACAAUAUUUCUAGUGCCUGUUAAUUAUACUUGACUACUUCCUGGUUUUGUUCCUAGGGAAAUAACCACCCUCUCCUAACACUGGGGAUUGGGGAAGGGAGUUGUUGCUUGCUGUUUGAAAUGAUGGGCCCCUCAAGCUAAAUUUAGGCUUAAGUACUUGGCCCUAAAUCUCAUCUGCAGCUCCCCGCAUGCUAAUCAGGCCCUGGUACUUGUCUGUUCUGGGGAUAGAACCUCAGACUUUGUGCACUGGGAUGUUGGCACAGCCAGCUGAGCUCAUUGCCAACCAUAUUGUUUUGUUUCUUCUUACACUUGAUAUUGUUUUUGCCCCAGACAUUUUUGUGACUCCAGACCAGUAAAUGGGCAUAUCAAGAUAAGUAUAUGGGGGCUGGAGAGAUGGCUUGGUGGUUAAGAGCACCGAGCUCUUUCAGAGGUCCUGAGUUCAAGUCCCAGCAACCACAUUGUGUGACUGGUGACUCACAACUAUCUGUACUGGGAUCUGAUUCCCUUCUCUGGCUCGCAGGUUUAGAUGCAGAUAGAGCAUUCAUAUACAUAAAAUAAAUAAAUCUUUUAAAAAAUAAGCAUAUAAGUCAGGUAUUUACUGACUAUAAACCAUAAAGAUUUUUCUAAUUCUUUGGUAUACAUAUAACUUCAUCAUGCAUUAAAGAUGAAAGCAGUCAUGUGUGGUGGAACACACCAUCCAUAAAAUGCCAAUUUUUUUGAUGAAACUCAAAAACUCAAAAGAGCAAUUUUUUUAAAAAGCCAAACUUUCUAACAAUGCAAUCCAAACAUACAUUAAUUUGAUGACACAUUCUAGGGAGUUAUGAUAGGAAAGUAUUUAAAAUACUUAUUUUCCAUAAGUAAGCUAUUAUAUCUUUAUAAGAAUAGAAACUUUUUAUGGACAGUUUUAAAAAACCCAUUGUCAUUCAUAAACAGUAGUCUUGAGUCUGAACUAGGAUGUUUCAGACAGUGUUCGUUGGCACUACCUGUCAUGAUGGCGUGUUCAGUACAAAGUGCUUCCAAUACUGGAAAUCUGAGUAUAUCAAUUAAACCUCAACAAAGCUAUAAAAAUGUACUACAGAAAACCAGCCUCUUCUUAAUUCUUAGUAAUUUAAUGAAAGAGAAUCUCCUUAAAAUAAUCAAUUUGAAAGUUGGACAUAGAGGGAGAAGAAUCUGUGGUCAGGGUGCAAAAUAAAUAAAUAAUAAAAUGUUUAAAAAGAAAGAAACAAAGUUGGGCAUGGCUCACAUCUGAAAUCCCCACAUGCCAACGGCAGGCAAAUCAAUCAAGUUUGAAUACAGCCUGGGCUGCUUGAUGAGUUCCACUCCAGCCAAGACUAGAUGGCAAGACCCAGUCUUAAAACAAAAUUAAAAAUAAAAAUGAGCCAGAUAUGGUAACACAUGCCCUUUAAUCCUAGUACUUGGGAGACAGAGACAGGUAGAUCUCUGUGAUUUCAAGGCCAGCCUGCUCUACACGGUAGUACUAUAUUGUGAAAUCCUGUCUC
rnacentral:lncRNA from 1 species